GAUGCAUGUUGUGGUUUCCUGUGGGCCGAUCUUCUACUUCCUAAUUCAGAUACUUUGUGAGUCUCGUUUUGUGUCUUUUCUCUCACUUGUUGUAAUGGAGUUGUUCAUCAUCACUCUUCUGCAUCUUCUUAUGAAGGUUCAGUCAUUUAACGUUCCUAAUAUAAAAGUGUCUCCUGAUGUCAUAAAAGAGUCAAACUCAGUACAUCUGAUCUGUGAGACUGAUGUUAAAGUGAAUCAGUGUUAUUUCUAUUCAAACAAUGAGGAAAAUACAAAACUCAGUCAAUCAUGUCAACUUCAUCUCACUGGAACUGAACUUCUCUUAUGGAAGCAUGAAAAAUCACCUGUAUCACUCAACAUUAGAUGCUUUUACACAAUAAAUGAGAAUGGGAUUCAUAAACCAUCACCUUACUCUCCUCCUGUCACACUGACAAUACUAGAUACUCUUCAGAAACCCUCCAUCAGUGUUAAUGGCACCAUUGACCGGCUCAUUAUAUCAUGUGAAAUACCACUGACAGUCAAAGCUGAAUUCAUCUGUAAUCUCUACACUGAGUAUGGACCUCUGAC